UGCUUGGUGGAUCAGUGGCGAACGGGUGAGUAACACGUGAGCAACCUGCCCUGGACUCUGGGAUAAGCGCUGGAAACGGCGUCUAAUACUGGAUAUGAGACGUGAUCGCAUGGUCGUGUUUGGAAAGAUUUUUCGGUCUGGGAUGGGCUCGCGGCCUAUCAGCUUGUUGGUGAGGUAAUGGCUCACCAAGGCGUCGACGGGUAGCCGGCCUGAGAGGGUGACCGGCCACACUGGGACUGAGACACGGCCCAGACUCCUACGGGAGGCAGCAGUGGGGAAUAUUGCACAAUGGGCGAAAGCCUGAUGCAGCAACGCCGCGUGAGGGAUGACGGCCUUCGGGUUGUAAACCUCUUUUAGCAGGGAAGAAGCGAAAGUGACGGUACCUGCAGAAAAAGCGCCGGCUAACUACGUGCCAGCAGCCGCGGUAAUACGUAGGGCGCAAGCGUUAUCCGGGAAUUAUUGGGCGUAAAGAGCUCGUAGGCGGUUUGUCGCGUCUGCUGUGAAAUCCCGAGGCUCAACCUCGGGCCUGCAGUGGGUACGGGCAGACUAGAGUGCGGUAGGGGAGAUUGGAAUUCCUGGUGUAGCGGUGGAAUGCGCAGAUAUCAGGAGGAACACCGAUGGCGAAGGCAGAUCUCUGGGCCGUAACUGACGCUGAGGAGCGAAAGGGUGGGGAGCAAACAGGCUUAGAUACCCUGGUAGUCCACCCCGUAAACGUUGGGAACUAGUUGUGGGGACCAUUCCACGGUUUCCGUGACGCAGCUAACGCAUUAAGUUCCCCGCCUGGGGAGUACGGCCGCAAGGCUAAAACUCAAAGGAAUUGACGGGGACCCGCACAAGCGGCGGAGCAUGCGGAUUAAUUCGAUGCAACGCGAAGAACCUUACCAAGGCUUGACAUAUACGAGAACGGGCCAGAAAUGGUCAACUCUUUGGACACUCGUAAACAGGUGGUGCAUGGUUGUCGUCAGCUCGUGUCGUGAGAUGUUGGGUUAAGUCCCGCAACGAGCGCAACCCUCGUUCUAUGUUGCCAGCACGUAAUGGUGGGAACUCAUGGGAUACUGCCGGGGUCAACUCGGAGGAAGGUGGGGAUGACGUCAAAUCAUCAUGCCCCUUAUGUCUUGGGCUUCACGCAUGCUACAAUGGCCGGUACAAAGGGCUGCAAUACCGUGAGGUGGAGCGAAUCCCAAAAAGCCGGUCCCAGUUCGGAUUGAGGU
rnacentral:rRNA from 1 species